rnacentral:rRNA from 1 species
UACGUAGGGGGCUAGCGUUGCUCGGAAUUACUGGGCGUAAAGGGCGCGUAGGCGGACAUUUAAGUCAGGGGUGAAAUCCCAGAGCUCAACUCUGGAACUGCCUUUGAUACUGGGUAUCUUGAGUAUGGAAGAGGUGAGUGGAAUUCCGAGUGUAGAGGUGAAAUUCGUAGAUAUUCGGAGGAACACCAGUGGCGAAGGCGGCUCACUGGUCCAUUACUGACGCUGAGGUGCGAAAGCGUGGGGAGCAAACAGG